rnacentral:rRNA from 1 species
GAUGAACGCUGGCGGCGUGCCUAAUACAUGCAAGUCGAGCGAACAGACGAGGAGCUUGCUCCUCUGACGUUAGCGGCGGACGGGUGAGUAACACGUGGAUAACCUACCUAUAAGACUGGGAUAACUUCGGGAAACCGGAGCUAAUACCGGAUAAUAUAUUGAACCGCAUGGUUCAAUAGUGAAAGACGGUUUUGCUGUCACUUAUAGAUGGAUCCGCGCCGCAUUAGCUAGUUGGUAAGGUAACGGCUUACCAAGGCAACGAUGCGUAGCCGACCUGAGAGGGGGAUCGGUCACACUGGAACUGAGACACGGUCCAGACUCCUACGGGAGGCAGCAGUAGGGACUCUUCCGCAAUGGGCGAAAGCCUGACGGAGCAACGCCGCGUGAGUGAUGAAGGUCUUCGGAUCGUAAAGCUCUGUUAUUAGGGAAGAACAAAUGUGUAAGUAACUAUGCACGUCUUGACGGUACCUAAUCAGAAAGCCACGGCUAACUCCGUG